AUCCAGCUGACGAGUCCCAGAUAGGGGGAAAUAUGAUUCUUGGAU
rnacentral:hammerhead_ribozyme from 1 species